rnacentral:rRNA from 1 species
UACGGGGGGAGCAAGCGUUGUUCGGAUUUACUGGGCGUAAAGGGCGCGUAGGCGGUCGUGACAAGUCACUUGUGAAAUCUCCGGGCUUAACUCGGAACGGUCAAGUGAUACUGUCGGACUAGAGUACAGAAGGGGCAACUGGAAUUCUCGGUGUAGCGGUGAAAUGCGCAGAUAUCAGGAGGAACACCGGUGGCGAAGGCGGCAUCCUGGACCGGCAUUGACGCUGAGGCGCGAAAGCUAGGGGAGCAAACGGG